AUAGUACUCCAUCCGUCUUUAAAUUCUUGUCUUAGAUUUGUUUAGAUAUGAAUGUAUCUAGUCAAAUUUUAGUAUUUAGAUACAUUCAUUUUUAGACAAAGCUAAGACAAGAAUUUUAGGACGAACGGAGUAUAAC
rfam:Hordeum vulgare subsp. vulgare, WGS project CAJW01000000 data, contig: morex_contig_1562922